AGGUCACUUCAAAGAGGGCUUGUGGAACUGAGACCAAGAGCUCUUAAUGCCGUGACCACAGAUAGAGAGUCUCCACGGAAUGCCAUCGUCCUCCACAGUGCUGUUUUCUCCUGUGGAGACACAUGG